rnacentral:rRNA from 1 species
UACGUAGGGGGCGAGCGUUGUCCGGAGUUACUGGGCGUAAAGCGCUUGUAGGCGGUCCACCAAGUUUGGGGUGACAGUUGCCGACUUAAUCGGCAAAGUGCCUCAAAGACUGGCGGACUUGAGGGCCACAGAGGGACAUGGAACUCCAGGUGUAGUGGUGAAAUGCGUAGAUAUCUGGAAGAACACCAAAGGCGAAGGCAGUGUCCUGGGUGGUCGCUGACGCUGAGAGGCGAAAGCUAGGGGAGCGAACGGG